GAUGAACGCUGACAGCAUGCUUAACACAUGCAAGUCAACUUGAACUUCGGUUUGGGUGGCGGACGGGUGAGUAACGCGUAAAGAACUUGCCUCACAGCUAGGGACAACAUUUGGAAACGAAUGCUAAUACCUGAUAUUAUGAUUAUAUGGCAUCGUAUAAUUAUGAAAGCUAUAUGCGCUGUGAGAGAGCUUUGCGUCCCAUUAGCUAGUUGGAGAGGUAACAGCUCACCAAGGCGAUGAUGGGUAGCCGGCCUGAGAGGGUGAUCGGCCACAAGGGGACUGAGACACGGCCCGUACUCCUACGGGAGGCAGCAGUGGGGAAUAUUGGACAAUGGACCGAGAGUCUGAUCCAGCAAUUCUGUGUGCACGAUGAAGUUUUUCGGAAUGUAAAGUGCUUUCAGUUGGGAAGAAAAAAAUGACGGUACCAACAGAAGAAGUGACGGCUAAAUACGUG
rnacentral:rRNA from 1 species